AGUGAACGCUGGCGGCGUGCUUAACACAUGCAAGUCGAACGAGAACGGAAUAUAGCUUGCUAUAUUUGUCAGCUAAGUGGCGCACGGGUGAGUAAUGUAUAGAUAACCUGCCCUUAAGAAAGGAAUAACAGUUGGUAACGACUGCUAAUGCCCUAUAUGCCUUUAAUACAUAAGUAUGCAAGGGAAAAGCUUUAGUGCUUAAGGAUGGGUCUGUAUGGUAUCAGCUUGUUGGUGAGCUAAUGGCUCACCAAGGGUCUGACUCCCAUCUGGUUUGAGAGCACGAGCCGUCACACUGGAACUGUUACACGGUCCGAGCUCCUACGGGAGGCAGCAGUGUGGAAUGUUGCACAAUGGACGAAAGUCGCAUGCAGCAACGCCUCGUGGAGGAUGACACAUGUCGGUGCGUAAACUCCUUUUAUAUAGGAAGAUAAUGACGGUGCUAUAUGAAUAAGCACCGGCUAACUCCGUGCCAGCAGCAGCCGCAG
rnacentral:rRNA from 1 species